AUGGAGUUUUUUUCCUGUAGUGCGAUCUUGCAGCAGCAGGUGAAUUUCACUAAGCGCAAGAAAAAGAAGAAACCGCAAGUACAGCAGCAGCAAGCCGGGUCUAUGUUGCAGCGGGGUUACCAGUAUCCACAACAGUAUGCACUGCCUCAGCAGCAGUUUCAGAACCAGUUGGCACCGCAACAGUUUACUCAACCACAGUAUGUCACGACUGACAAGAGGAGCCACGACAGCGACGAGGUAGAGGGCCCAGCGGCCAGGGAAAUCAGCGAAUCCGCCAAGGGGGAAGCGCUUACGACUGGGACCGGGCGGUCAGCGAGACAUAAGCGAGAAGCUGCCCAUCUCCUUCCUCUCCAAGUUUUCCCCACCUACUUCCCUUCCUUCCUCCUGGAUCUAGAUCGGACCCCUAACAAUUGGUAUCAGAGGUCAGCAGCAGACCUGGAGACGGCAUACCCUCGCCCGCGCUACACCACCAAGAGGGGCGCGCCGCCAACGACGCCAAGUUGGAGGCGAUCCAGCAGUCCUUGGAGCUCUGGCGCUGGGCGGUUCAAAAUCUUCAAGGCCAACUCGACGAACUCUGCACACAAGUGGGCAGGAUCGCGAUCCACCCCGCGCUCGCGGAUUCAGCACCAUCCACGGUGGUGCAGCAAGUGCCACCGCCGCCGCCGGCCCUUGAAUCGGGGCACCACGGGCCAAGUGGCCACGGCGGGAUCGACAACUCCUUGGGAUCGAGAGAUGUGGGUGAAGGUUGCAACUCUCCAUUUCACAGGCAAUACAGCUCGAUGGCUGCAGUUGCAUGAGGCUAGUGACACAACAUUUAGUUGGGAGGAGCUUUGUGUGGCGGUGAGCGAAAAAUUCGGCCGCGAUCAGUACCAAGCACAACUCAGGCAAUUUGCCGAUCUGUCCCAGACUAGCAUAGUCACGGACUACAUGAACCGCUUUGAGGAGUUGAUGCAUAAUUUGUUAGCUCACAACUCAGGAUUUGAUCUAGAAGAGUUGCUGGAGACGAUGCGUCGAUGUGAUUACAGGUGUUCGGAACCCCCUCCCGCGCGGGUCCAGCAGCGGCCGUUGUUCGCCCCGGCAGCGCCACUCCCUCGAGUGCUGCCACCUGCACCUCGAGAAGCAGCUGAAGACAGGCGUGGUCUGGAUGCAGCCCGAGCUGCCGAUCGAUGUCAAGACCCAGGCAGGGGGGACGACGAUGUAGCAGCGUUGCGAAAAUAUCGCCGUGCACGCGGUCUUUGUUUCAAAUGUGGAGAGCGCUGGGGGCAAGGGCACCAGUGCGCUGCCAUGGUCCAACUCCACAUUGUGGAAGAGUUGAUGGAAUUAUUACAAGCAGAGGUGGAUGAUCAAGAGCAGGCAGUAGCAGUGGAAGAGGAAGAACAGCUUAUGUCGAUCUCUAAAUUGGCCACAACUGGACAGACCACCCCCCAGACAGUUCGUCAGCUUGGAUCCAUUGAUGGACAUGAGGUGUUGAUCUUGGUGGACUCAGGAAGCUCCCACAACUUUAUCAGUGAUGCAGUGGCAGCAAAAUUUUCUGACAGAGUCUGUGCAAUCAAACAAGUGUCAGUUAAGGUGGCGGAUGGGGUCCUUCUCUCUUACUUUGGUUAUAUUCCGCAGUGCCAAUGGACAACCCAACACCAGAAGUUUACCACUGAUCUGAGAAUACUGUCCCUGGGUUGUUAUGAUAUGGUCAUUGGGAUGGAUUGGUUGGAGAGUUGUGGACCAAUGCUCGUAGACUGGGUAGAGAAAACAUUGCAAUCCACUCAUCAGGGGCAGAGGAUUCAGUUAACUGGGCUGCACAGCGAAGUGGAGCAAAUAGCACAAAUUUCAGUGGCUCUAUUGGAGGAAAUGGAACAGACCAACUCAGUGGUGUGUGUGGUGAUGCUAUGCGCGGCAGAACAGGAAAAUGAUCCAGACACCAGAGACUUGAUGACUCGUCUGGCUCUUGAUCCAACAAGCGAACCAGAUUUCAAGCUGGCAGGUGGAAUUCUGCGCUUCAAGGGGCGAGUCUGGCUAGCGGCUAACAAGGAAACACAACUACAUGUGAUCCGAGCGCUGCAUGCAAGUGCGACUGGUGGCCAUUCUGGAUUCCACGCAACCUACAAUCGAGUCAACCGUUUGUUUGCUUGGAAGGGGAUGAAGCAACAAGUCAAGGAGCUACAACAGUUGAAACAAGCUCAAGACCGCAUGAAAAAACAGGUUGAUCGUCACCGGACUGAGCGGUCCUUCGAAGUUGGAGACUCUGUUCUUCUCAAGCUCCAGCCAUUCAUUCAAACAUCAAUUGCCCGUUGGCCCUUCCAGAAGUUGGCAUUUCGAUACUAUGGACCAUACACCAUUCAGGCCAAAGUGGGCGCUGUGGCUUACCGUCUAAACCUGCCACCAACCAGCAAGAUUCACCCUGUGGUGCACGUAUCCCUUCUCAAGCGUGCAGUUGGGGCAAAACAUUCGCCCGGUGGUGUGAUCGACAAGAAGCUGGUUCGAGUGGACGGCACCUUCAAACCACGUGUGCUGAUCAAAUGGAGCGAUCUACCUGCAGACCUAGCGACGUGGGAAGACCCAAUCAAGCUACAACAGCGGUAUCCAACAACACCGCCUUGGGGGCAAGGCGGUCCUCAAGGAGGGGAGAAUGUCACGACUGACAAGAGGAGCCAUGACACUACUGCCACGGGCUCGACGGUGCUGCUCUGCCUCUGCUACCUCAACUGCGACGCCGAUGGUUCAAUCACGGCUGGAUACAACAACAACCGCGGCCACUCUCAACAUGGUGGCUUCCAUUAUUCUGUUUGGGAUUUGGUGCCCCAGAUUCUUAAACGUUCCACUUGUGCAUGGGUGACAAUUAGAUUGAUCUCUUUUCCAGCACGUUUAUCCCAUAUAUUUGAUAUCUCUCUCCCAGCAGGGGGGGGUCUUGUUGUAGUGGAGGGCCCAGCGACCAGGGAAAUCAGAGAAUCCGCCAAGCGGGAAGCGCUUACGACUGGGACCGGGCGGCCAGCGAGACAUCGGACCCCUAACACCCAGGGACAGGUACAAGAUGCUCACUUGGAUGCACCGUCUAGCUUGGCUCCUAUGGCUAAUUCACAGGGUGAUUCGCCCGCGGCCAAGGGUAAAGCUAAAAAAGAUUGGUCGAUGUUGAGGUGCCCCAUUCUUAAGCUCCCUAGGCCCAAUAUUUUCGUGUCUGGAUUGGAUGCUGAAGAGACUUAUUUUGCUCAGUUACCGGAUAGUGUGGUGAAGGAUCACUUGGCCCCAACUCAGACUCCUAUCGCCUGUGUUCGAGUUACUGUCCAGACCCAGUGGAGGUGGGAGGCUAUUCAGCAUGGUGAGGAUGCCUACCUUGUUAGUUUUCCCUCUUUUGUGGAUUUGGACAGAGUUGACGGUAUUCAGAUGAAUGUGCAAUCAGUUAAUGCUCUCCAGCAGAUUUGGCUACAUAUUGACGGGGUUCCCCAUAUCGUGCACCAUUUUUGGGGUCUAUGGGCUAUUGGUAAGUUGAUUGGCAAGACCCUGGAUGUCGACCUCAUUAGUUUGCGACGACGUGGGGUGGUCCGUAUUCUUGUGGCUAUGACGAACACUUGGAUUUUGGCAAAGAACAAGGAUGAUGUCGGGCCGUUUGUUGCAAUGGAUGUGGUGGUUAAGCUCAAGGGCUAUGCAUAUAGGUUCAGGAGAGAAGCGACAAGUUAUGUUCCGGAUCUGGACUUUGUACCGUUCAUUUGGAGACGCAAGGGUGAUGAUACUGACGAUGAUGGCGGUGCGAAGGAGAAGGACGAUGACAUGGACACAUUGGAUAACUCCGGAAACCCAUCCAAGCAACCUUCGUCUAAUGCUGCUCCUACAAAUGACACUCAUGCAAACAUGGUCUCUCGUGGUGCUCCGGGAGUAGGAGUCCUUGUUGCAUGCCACUCCGCGGACUCCGAUCCCGUCGCAACCGUUGUCGCCUACAAGGUCGGCUGCAUUCUAGGUCGCUUGCGCGUCGCUACAGGCCACCGGCGGCCCGGUGGAGCGAUCGUCCGCAUCUCCGGAGCGACCGUAGGUGGAGGCUCAGGUGGAGGCCACCCAACCCUCAGCUCUGGAGAAGCCAGCCUUGGGUGUGCAGCCACGUGCUACUGCACUAGUGGCUCAUAUGGUGGCGAUCCGCCACCCGGCUCAGGAGGAGCCGGCUUCAGGGCUGCACCCACGUGCUACCGCACGGGUGGCUAUCAACAUGUCGAGCACACUAACUUCUCACAAGCUAGGACCAGUUGGCUCACCUUUGGAUGUGCAGCCACAUGCCGCUACGCCGUUGGCCUCGUCGCUCGAGCCGGCGGUAGACACUGUCGGAGAGGGGUUUGCUACCUACCAUCACCCCCUCCUCCGAUAGGAGAGCCGGUGCCACGACCACCACUGGGGGUAAUACUUACACGCCGAAGUUGUCGACAUAUGGUUGCCGAUGAUGGUACUAUGGACACAUAUGAGGACUCCUUGGCCAAGGCUAUGCAGCGUAAAGCAACACAGAACCUCGAAAACCAAGCAAGUCUUAUGCCUCCCAUACUAAUGAGGAGGAGUUGCAUGCCACAUCAGAUGGCCAACUACUCUCUCAUUUAG
rnacentral:rRNA from 1 species